GAUUUUUCAGAAGCACUGAGUACUUACAGCUGCAGCUGAAGUUAAUAGUAGCUGGGCUUUGAGGAUGGGAGGAGCACCAUGUAGCAAGUAUCCUGAAAAAGCACUUUUCAGCAUUUUCAGGAUGAGUACCCAGCAUUAAUACUUUAGAAUUCUGUGUCUGAGCUCCAGAAGUAAGCUUUUCUUCACUGUGGCUUAUUGCUAUAGUUGUCAGCACAAAAUGCAAUUUUGUGAACAGAAUUUUGUGAACAGCAACGGAAGCAAUGUGGAGGAGGGGGAAACAACACUAAAAUGAAAAUCAAUUGUAUUGAAGUAGCAGUAAAUUUUAAGUUAUUAUUUCAGUAAAGCAAGAGGAAGUGUCACAACUAACAGCUCAGGGUACUUCCUGAGAAGGAAAACCACUUAAAGCUGUUGAUAGGGCAGAACUACUGUGUGGAUCCCAAAGUGUUAACAGAAGCGGUAUAGAUGCGGUUCUAAAAAUACACAUUUAUUAAGAAUGUCAGUGGAACUGCAUGAGUUUUCACCAGGGCUGACUUCCUUUCAUAUUUAUAAAUUUUGCCUGCCUGCGUGGCCUCUAAAGCAAUUUGAAAUUCUGUAUUUGCAUAUUUAUUUCUUAACCUUAAUGUAGCAGUAGAAUAUAUAACUGUCUCCAUUUUAUUAUGUAUCUCAUGCUGGAAUUUAAAUUAAAGAAAACAAGAAUAAAAGAACCAAUUCAUUAAACCAUAAGCUAUGACAACUGCAGGGAUUUUUUUUUAAUGAAUUUUCCAGUGAGAGGAACUGUUUCUGUGACUUUAACUGCAGCUAUAUUCUGAUAUGAUCAUGAAAUAUUUUAUUUUUUUUUUGUAUGCAUAAGGAGCUGAUACCAGGUGUGGAUCAGGUAAAACAGAAUGUGAGUUUGCAAGAAUUACAGUGUCGAUACUUCACUAACAAAUGCUUCUAUGAAGCUGCUUUGUGAUAGAGAACUCGCAUAUAUUAUUCCCUAGGACAAAGGUUUAGGGAAAGGCUCCCUGUUUUUGCAAAUCCUUCUGAAAUCAUUCAUAAAUAUUAGCUCACUUAGUAGGAGUAAUGUUUACUACAUAACCAUGGCAUGUCUGUUCAGCCAACCAGUCCUCUGUGAUUACAACUGCUUUUAUAAAUGAGAUGUUUCUAGAAGUAGACUGUUACCUGAAGACAAGAUAAGAAAAAUACUCCCUCCCUCAAGGCAAUUACACAGAGUCCAUAAGAACGCAUCUCAUGGAAACAUUUCUAUGGCAGCUCUAAUAAGUGUAAAAUAAAAUACAUGCUUAUACUAUACCUAUGUAAUUCAUCUAUAUGAUCUUCGAAUGGAAAACAUACACUUAAAUUUCUCAAUUAGUAAUCCUGACACUUGUUACUGAAGGGAGAGCUGAGACUAUUGAGUGGUUUUCUUGUUUACUGUACAGUGUCCUUAUUCUGUUUGGGAAGAAAGAAUUGUGUUUAACUCUGUGUUUGACUCACACAAGUCACUUAAAUACACAAGUUGCUUUUCCAGGUAAUAGACACAGUAUUCCAAUAUGUGAUGCUGUAAAAUUAAAUAGUUUAAAUUUAAGCUUUUAUAUAGCAGUUUAGAAUUUAAUUUUAUAUAUUUACAGUACUAGUGUUAUCUUCUCUGUCUCAAAGUCUUCCAUUUCAUGCCCUCUCAUGUCAGGCAUUUUAGAUUAAUCUGUCCUUGACUUUAGGUUUCAGCUUGAUAUGACUCAGGAUUUUUGUCGCCAUGUUGGAAAGCUCUUCACAUACUGGGCUAGGUCUGAUCUGACUGAUAAAUGUAUAUACUCUGAAAGAUAUUUCAGGAUGUUCAAAAUCUGAAUGGCUGUUUAAAAGGAGAGGUGCUUUCCCAUCUUUGGGGUUACAAAGUGACCUAAACGUUCAGUUCAAAGGUGGGAUAUUCAGAAUGAUCUAAACAUAACAUGGAAAUAAAAAUUAACAGAAUUUUACAUUCCUAUUGAAUUACAUCAUUGUUGUGCUGGAAAAGAAACAAGACAACAUUCUACACCUUUUACCACCUGGGAUAAAUAAGUCAAGCUCAUAUAGCCUUCCCCUAAGAUAAGCUAUCCAUUCCCAUUAUUAUUUUAGAAGCCUUUCUCUGCAUCUGUUGUACUAGGAAUUAAAUAUUCCUGAAUGUGGUGAUUCAAGAUGCACAUAGUAUUCCUUGGAUUACCAUCUAUGCUUGGAAGCACUUCAGUAAGAUUUAAAAUUGUAUUUAAUGUUUUCAUACCUAAAUGUGAUCAGUUGUUAAAUUAAAAUAUUUUCCCCUCUGUU